GAGCGUAUUGUGGGUUUCCUGUGUUGCAUACCUAAUUGAUGGCAUCGUUUUGAUUGAUUGGAGUCCCUUUUCGUCUUGUGUUGCUUUUGUGAUGCAUGAUGAACUUUGAAUCAGCCUCUAUGUUCCACCAUGUUGAUGCUAGUGUUUUGAUGUUGUGGCCCAUUGAGUGUUGCUUGGUUUCGUGGAUACAGAACAUUAUUUGGGCAUAGGGUCACUUGUGACUCUUGUUUUGUCCUUUAUCAGUGUUCUUUAUAACGACGGUUCAUGUGCGCCUAGGCUUGUACCUGCGCGAUGUUCUUUGUCGAAGAGGAAUGC
rnacentral:misc_RNA from 1 species